rnacentral:rRNA from 1 species
GACAGGCUUAACACAUGCAAGUCGAGGGGCAGCACGGGAGUAGCAAUACAACUGGUGGCGACCGGCACACGGGUGAGUAACGCGUAUGCAACCUACCUAUCAGAGGGGAAUAACCCGGCGAAAGUCGGACUAAUACCGCAUAAAACAGGGGCACCGCAUGGUGAUAUUUGUUAAAGAAAUUCGCUGAUAGAUGGGCAUGCGUUCCAUUAGGUAGUUGGUGAGGUAACGGCUCACCAAGCCGACGAUGGAUAGGGGAACUGAGAGGUUGGUCCCCCACACUGGUACUGAGACACGGACCAGACUCCUACGGGAGGCAGCAGUGAGGAAUAUUGGCCAAUGGGCGGGAGCCUGAACCAGCCAAGUCGCGUGAAGGAAGAAGGAUCUAUGGUUCGUAAACUUCUUUUGCAGGGGAAUAAAGUGCAGGACGUGUCCUGUUUUGUAUGUACCCUGAGAAUAAGGAUCGGCUAACUCCGUGCCAGCAGCCGCGGUAAUACGGAGGAUCCGAGCGUUAUCCGGAUUUAUUGGGUUUAAAGGGUGCGUAGGUGGUUUGAUAAGUCAGCGGUGAAAGUUUGCAGCUUAACUGUAGAAAUGCCGUUGAAACUGUCGGACUUGAGUGUAAAUGAGGUAGGCGGAAUGCGUGGUGUAGCGGUGAAAUGCAUAGAUAUCACGCAGAACUCCGAUUGCGAAGGCAGCUUACUAAGCUACAACUGACACUGAAGCACGAAAGCGUGGGGAUCAAACAGGAUUAGAUACCCUGGUAGUCCACGCAGUAAACGAUGAUUACUAGCUGUUUGCGAUACACAGUAAGCGGCACAGCGAAAGCGUUAAGUAAUCCACCUGGGGAGUACGCCGGCAACGGUGAAAC